CUUGGCUCCGCCGGGGUCGGGCCGUCAGGGCCUCUGCCCGCCCAGGCGUCCGCGCCGCCACCAAGUGCGUGUAAGGGCCUAGCGCGUUUUCACGUACGCUUGACACGCCCUGAAGGAGCUUCCCGCUCCGCAGGCCGCUGGAGUACGUGGUGGUGAGUCUCCCCUUGAGGCCAAGCGAAGGCGAAGGAUCGUGAACGCCUUUGCGCAAGAGCGGGAGACAGCAGUAGCUUUAGCCCCGUGCCUGUCUGGCUGGCAGGGGAUUUUUGUGGGCGCACGAUUCUGCCUGUAUGCUGUCUGGCUACAGCACGUUUUACUCUGUUAUGAAGGCUCUUGAGUUCACUUCUCUGACAGAGGAUUAGGGCGUUUAGGAAGUUGGCUCAAGUGUGACAGGUCUGGUCUAGCUGCUGCAGGAAUUUUUCCAGAUUGUGCAAACCGCUUCGGUUGCUCAGCUCCCUGUGCUUCUACCUUUCAAUGCUGAGCAAAAAAAAAAAUAGGGAGCAGACUGCCUUUUUCCGUGGUAGUCUUAAUCCCUGAGGCCUCCAAGCAACUCUUGCACGUCCCUCAGUUAUUAGUGCAGAUCUGUACUCAACCCUGUCGAAUAGGACAGCUGACCGCUAACUAGCAAUGUUUGCACAACAGCCAAGUUUAGACCACGACUACUGUGAGUUUUGAAGAGUUGCCCUCAACGUUUUAGCAUCAGCUCCAGCAAGCUUCUAAUGUAGUUGAGCAAGAGAAGCAAGGCUGUCAGUACAGCAAAACAUGCACGCAAGCAAUGGGAGGACUGUCUGCAAUCCCCUCUGCUAUGAGACAAGCUUCUCUCUUGGUCAUAUCUUUUAGCGGAACUAUCAGUAUGGUCUUGCUUAACUAUGGAACUUUUAGAAGCCAUUAUGCUAAUAUAAACUGCUUUAGCUGAACAAGAAUAUAGACUUUUUAAUCGAAAUAAUACAGACCUCCUCCCCCAAAACUUGAAGCUCACAUGCGCUAGGAGAAAGCAAAAGAAGCAACAGUGAAGCUCUGAAAAAACAAGUUGGCAUCACCAGUACCCAGGCAGAAAUGGCACAAAACAGUAAGAUCUCCAUGGCUACUGAAAUAAUAGAGGAAAAAUAAAACCAAGACAACAGUUUAAUGAAUUUUAAUAAAGACAAAAUGCUGAAGCUUGGCAGUCUUCUUUUGCUAAGGCUAAAAUAAAAUGGUUGUGCUCCAGGAGGAAAUUAAACAAAGCAAAAAGAACUCUCCAAGAUCACCGUGGUUACUGAUCAGUAACUCAUGAAUUAAAAGUUGUUGUUUGGGAUGUUUUGGGAAAGCAGUGUUAGGGGGAAUAGACAGCAGACAAGCAAGAUGGGAGGCAGAUGAAGAACCAGGUCAAACGUAAAGUCACACAAAAGAGCAACUAAAAUACUAAGAAUGUCUGAAAAAAAAAGUGUAAUUUAUUAGUCAAGCUUACC